rnacentral:rRNA from 1 species
GACGAACGCUGGCGGCGUGCCUAAUACAUGCAAGUAGAACGCAGUUGCGAACGGGUGAGUAACGCGUAGGUAACUGUCUCAUAGCGGGGGAUAACUAUUGGAAACGAUAGCUACUACCGCAUACUUUGAGAUGGACCUGCGUUGUAUUAACUAGUUGGUGAGGUAAAGGCGCACCAAGGCGACGAUACAUAGCCGACCUGAGAGGGUGAUCGGACAAACUGGGAAUGAGACAAGGCCCAGAAUCCUACGGGAGGCAGCAGUAGGGAAUAUACGGCAAUGGACGGAAGUCUGACCGAGCAACGACGCGUGAGUGAAGAAGGUUUUCAGAUCGUAAAGCUCUGUUGUUAGAGAAGCGGUAACUAACAAGAAAGGGACGGCUAACUACGUGCCAGCAGCCGCGGUAAUUC